AUCCGCACUUGUCACAUGUCAAAACAAAUGCGCUUCUGUUCCUGUCUGAAGUUUUGUCCUGUGUGCUGCAAGUUUAGGACUGACCCUGGUCUUCAGGAUCAAUGGCCUCCUGUGUAACUGAGUGGGUAACGUCAUGCUCCAACAUCAUUUUGUCUGCCACUGCACUGUAUUGUUCUUAUAAACUCUUUAAGAACCACAGAGCUCCCUCUGUAGGCCUCUUUCUGCUUGGACUCUCUGCAGCAGUUUGCGUCUUGCAUCCUUCCAGUUCAUACCUAACCUCCCUCCAGAGAGAGGCAGAGUGGGCCGGCGAAGUCCUGGCUCCAGCGCUGGUCUCCUUUGACUUCCUGUGGCUCAGUCAAGACCACAACACAGCACACACUCUCCUGUGUGGCUCUUGCCUCGUGCUGGGACUGUGUGACUGGCUCUCAGCAGAUGCUCUCACAGUGAUGACUCGCUGCCUGGGCCUGUCCUCCCUGUCCUGCUGCCUCACAGUGUGUCUUUUUGCUGGUAAUGCUUUAGGGGCCCUGGGUGGUGUGGCCCUCAGCCUUCCUUUGCUUGUGACACCACAGGUUGGAACCAGCACUUUUGGUUUUGCUCCUCUCAUUUCUCCAUCUGCCACUGAAGGACUGAUGAAGUGGUGUUUGAAAGGGUCCAUGUCAAUAGGGUGCUGGGCCUCGAUGAAGGCCCUUGGUAAGUUUCUGUUGGAUGUGACUGAUCGAUGUAACACAGACAUUUAGUAAAUCAGAGAUCUGUGUGAUUAGUGAGAGUCUGUGUACAUUUAUGUACUGUCCAGUGCUGCAAGGACAAACUUGCCAGAUGUCACUAACUCAUAAGAAUUUCAGGACAUUUGUGAGGAAGAAUUUCUGUUUUAAUGCAAGUGUCAAUAGAGCUAAACCAGUUAAUGUAUUUGCCAGUGGUAAAAAAUAAAUACAAUUUUGAUAAGCGAUUAACCAAGCAAGUAAAAAUGCAGACAUAACCUGAGCUGAUCAGAGCUUCUCAGCUAUUACAGCCAAGUAUUUGCUGCUUUUCUCUUUGUUACAUGACUAUAAAUUAAAUAUCUUUAGAUUUAGAAAGUUUCAUACAAAACAAAUAAUCUGAAGAUGUUAGCUUGGGCUCUGGUAAAUCGUGACAGGCUCUUUUCCACUACUUUGUGAGAUUUUAAAGACUAAACAAUCAAGCAAAUAAUGGAGAGAUAAUUAAAAGUGAAAAAAAUCAUUGGUCGCAGCACUAGUUUCUACAUUGGAGGUCACAGGAACAAAAUAAUAGCUUGCAAUGAUCAAGUUAAUGAGCAAAACAGUAACUUAUGGCUUAGAUAUACUGAGAAAUUAAUAUCACAGUAACCAUAAUAUCGUUGUUUCGUUUAUAUCAUGGUAUGUGCUUAAAAGUGGAAAUUCAAUUCUAAUUCAAGUACAUUCAUCAUUAGACAAAACACACAUACCACUGAACAAGCUCAUUUGCAUGAGAGGAUGUGAUCACAGUUUACCACAGACAAUACAGGGUGGCGUUGUGUAACCUUUUUCGGCAUACUGAAAGUACCUGGGUGACAUUUAGAAUGUCAGCCAAUGUGACCAUUUUAAUUUCCUCUGUGAUCAUUUCAGUGAGUGUGUGAAGUGACACAUCUCUCUGCAAACAGUUUUAGUGUUUUCAAAAACAUCUAGCUGCCUCAGAGUCUGGGUCCUAUGUGUUCUGCAGCCUCAGCAGUAUCACUGUUAAAAUAUCUGCAGUGGUCUAAGCUCUUGGCCCUGCUAUUACCUCAUCGUGCCCAUUUGAUACUUAUCAGUGCACUUUUUUUUAUUACUUCCUUGGUUUUUAGCUUCCGUGAUGUUGACUGAAAUGACCUCAUCUUUUUAACUCACCGCUACUUCAGUGAUGUCUGUAUAAUUGUGUUUGUCCACAGCGUUGUCCUUUCAAGGUAUUGAUAUUCCUUAAAGAGAUUUGUAAUGGACACUGCAGAUUCAUUCUCAGGUUUUGGGAGUUGUAAACAGCUGCCUCAGCAGUUUUACUGCAGUACAUGUGCAAGCAUCUGUGGCUCUGUGCCUAUCUGUGGGACAAUGCGUUUGUCAGACCUCAAGGCGCAGGAGUCUAGUGAUAUAAUCAAUAUAAUUGAUCAUUUUAGUGUGCAUUCAUGCAGGUAUGGUUGUGGUAAUUGUUCUUCCUGUUCUGUUUUGUAAUGAUUUGUCAUUCAGUUCAUGUCUUUUUUUUUGGCAAUGUGGACGUGUUUGAAAAUGUCACAUCCUGUACUUUUAU